AACUCUGAUGAGCGGUGAUCACUCGGCUGCGUGUCGUCGAUCGAUAGAGCGCAGCCAACUGCGUGAAUUAAGUGUGAAUUGCAGGAUAUCUUGAACAUCGACAUCUUGAACGCAUAUUGCGGCACCUCAGUCUCCCCUGUGGCCACGCUGGCCGAUGGUCG
rnacentral:rRNA from 1 species